GAGUUUGAUCAUGGCUCAGGACGAACGCUGGCGGCGUGCUUAACACAUGCAAGUCGAACGGUGACCUCGGAGCUUGCUCCGGGUGAUCAGUGGCGAACGGGUGAGUAACACGUGAGUAACCUGCCCCAGACUCUGGGAUAACUUCGGGAAACCGGAGCUAAUACCGGAUAUGACACGAAGAGGCAUCUCUAUCGUGUGGAAAGUUUUUCGGUCUGGGAUGGACUCGCGGCCUAUCAGCUUGUUGGUGAGGUAACGGCUCACCAAGGCGACGACGGGUAGCCGGCCUGAGAGGGCGACCGGCCACACUGGGACUGAGACACGGCCCAGACUCCUACGGGAGGCAGCAGUGGGGAAUAUUGCACAAUGGGCGAAAGCCUGAUGCAGCGACGCCGCGUGAGGGAUGACGGCCUUCGGGUUGUAAACCUCUUUCAGCAGGGAAGAAGCAAAAGUGACGGUACCUGCAGAAGAAGCACCGGCUAACUGCGUGCCAGCAGCCGCGGUAAUACG
rnacentral:rRNA from 1 species